rnacentral:RNase_P_RNA from 1 species
AGAGUAGAACAAAUGGCCGCUGCCUUGCCAUUCGGGCAAGGGGGAGGAAAGUCCGGGCUCCACAGGACAGGAUGCUGGGUAACGCCCAGUCCCGGUGACGGGAAGGAAAGUGCCACAGAAAGUAGACCGCCCGAUACUCAGUUCACUGAGUGCCGGGUAAGGGUGAAAGGGUGAGGUAAGAGCUCACCAGUCCCGCCGGUGACGGCGGGAGCUAGGCAAACCCCAUCCGGAGCAAGACCAAAUAGAGGAACGUUUAAGGGUGGUCCGCCCGAGUUCCCGGGUAGGUCGCUUGACCCCGAUGGCAACAUCGGGGCUAGAUGAAUGGUCAUUGUCCCGAAGUCCCGCUUACAGCGGGACUUCGGGAAACAGAACCCGGCUUAUGGGCUGCUCUAACA